rnacentral:rRNA from 1 species
GAAGUGAGUGGCGAACGGGUGAGUAACACGUGGGUAACCUGCCCAGAAGUAGGGGAUAACACCUGGAAACAGAUGCUAAUACCGUAUAACAGAGAAAACCGCAUGGUUUUCUUUUAAAAGAUGGCUCUGCUAUCACUUCUGGAUGGACCCGCGGCGUAUUAGCUAGUUGGUGAGGUAAAGGCUCACCAAGGCAGUGAUACGUAGCCGACCUGAGAGGGUAAUCGGCCACAUUGGGACUGAGACACGGCCCAGACUCCUACGGGAGGCAGCAGUAGGGAAUCUUCCACAAUGGACGCAAGUCUGAUGGAGCAACGCCGCG